CGCACACAUGAUGCCGUGAUUCCGCCAGCGUGGGGCAUGACUGCCCGGCUGCGGCCUUGCUUGCUUCCCUGAUUAUUUCUCCUUAAUUGAGCGUAAAGAAUGUGAGGAAUGUGGAGUAGACCGCAUGAGGAGGGCUGCUGCAGCCCCCUUGGGGAUCUGGGAUUCUGAGCUCUGGAUGGGAGAACUACAGAGGGCUGCUGAACCCCACAAAGUGUGUCGUUCCUGGGCCCCCCACCCUUGCCCACGGUGGCCAGUCCACUUCUCCAACCUCUGAUCGGUUUCCUCUCUGCUCUGGGGUUUUCUUCUUCCUUCUCGCUGCACCAAGAAUUUCAUUUCUUUAUAAAACCGGCUACGAUCGCCUCUCUUCCCAGGAGUCCGCCUUGACUUAAACCCAUGCGACGUUGGCAAUCCUUAUCCAUCUGUAAUUCCGGGUAGAACUCGGGAAGCUGUUCACUCUCCUCCAAUGGAAGAGGGAGGGGCAAUGGUUCUGGCCCCUCGUUGGCCUUGCUUAGCUGUUGGGAACCCUGUGUCCAGGCUGUGGGAAGAUCUGAGUCGAUGUGUGAUGUCCUGCCGCUUAACCUGCCAGGAAGGCAGCCAGCUGUAACUCCAGCCUGAGAGAGAGGGGGUGUCUAGGAGCGGGUCAUGGCUCAUGCAGUGAACACCGUCGACACCUACCAUGUGCCAGGCACUGUGCAGGAAGGUGGGCUUUACCGGAGUGAACUUUGGAAGCAUCCAGGCUGAGAGAGAACUGGAUGCUCUCUGGAGCCUGCAUUUCGUUUCUCUGGCUGUUGUUGAGAAAAGGAGGGACCCAGCUCUGCACCUGGCCACUGCAAACCCCAUAAAGUUCACGGUAUGACUCUUCCAUGGACCAUAACCUCCUCCCAUCCCUAAUCCGGCCCAGGCAGGACUGAGUUGGAGGAUGCUGGAUCUGCCAGGAGAGGAGAAAGGGGAGGGGAGGAUUGUUUCAGGCUGUUAAUAGUCUCGAAAUAAAGCCUGAAGACAAGA